CACGGCCACAGGGACCACACCGAGCCCAAGGUCCCUGCCAGCGUCCCUCCUCCCUGUCCAGCCCUGAUCCAAGAUGGACACCCAGGGCCUGAGCCCGGGGCUGCACCUGCUUCCUCCUCAGACAAAGAAGCUCUCUGAACCCGAGGAUGGAAGAUUCUGACUCUGGAAAGCAUUCUGAUUGUUAGACCAGAGACACAGGGAUGGAGGGACACAAAGAAGGGGAGAAAGUGAGAUACCUGCAGUCCUGCUUCACCACUCAGGAAGCUCAAGCCCAGCCCCUCUGCAGCCCCUGAACCCAGGUCCUUGCAUUCUAGCCCCAGCCCCUGCCUCUCCGCUGUCUUCUCCUCCAUUCCCGCCGCCCUGGCUGCCCUGCUCUGCUGCCCACAGGUGCUGGCGUGCCAGCCUCCCGCCCACAGCUGCCUGCCCAGAUGGCGUGGCAGGUCUCGGCUCCUGCUUUGCAAGGCUCCCCAGAGAUGCCGGGAGGGCGUAAGGGGCGUCGGGAUGAAUCAGACCGGAGUCGGCAACCUCUCGUCAAGACCCUUGCUUCAUGCCUGGCAUCCAUUUAGCACCUCAGCUUUCAAUAUCACUUAGAGGAAACAGCCGCACAGACCUCAAGUCAGACUUUGAUGUUUAGACCU